CCAGACUCCUACGGGAGGCAGCAGUGAGGAAUAUUGGUCAAUGGGCGGAAGCCUGAACCAGCCAAGUCGCGUGAGGGAAUAAGGCCAUACGGGUCGUAAACCUCUUUUGCCGGGGAGCAAAGUGCCGCACGUGUGCGGUUUGGAGAGUACCCGGAGAAAAAGCAUCGGCUAACUCCGUGCCAGCAGCCGCGGUAAUACGGAGGAUGGGAGCGUUAUCCGGAUUUAUUGGGUUUAAAGGGUGCGUAGGCGGACCUUUAAUUCGGCGGUAAAAUUGCGGGGCUCACCCUCGUCGAGCCGUUGAAACUGGGUGCCUUGAGUGGGCGAGAAGUACGCGGAAUGCGCGGUGUAGCGGUGAAAUGCUUAGAUAUCGCGCAGAACCCCGAUUGCGAAGGCAGCGUACCGGCUCCACACUGACGCUGAGGCAC
rnacentral:rRNA from 1 species